GACAGAGGAGGCAAGCGUUAUCCGGCCUUAUAGGGCGUAAAGCGUCCGUAGGUGGUUUGACAAGUCUGGGGUUAAAGCCCGGAGCCCAACUCCGGAUCGGCCCUGGAAACUGUCAGACUUGAGUAAGGUAGGGGUUGCGGGAAUUCCCGGUGUAGCGGUGAAAUGCGUAGAUAUCGGGAAGAACACCAGCGGCGAAAGCGCGCAACUGGGCCAUUACUGACACUGAGGGACGAAAGCUAGGGGAGCGAAGGGG
rnacentral:rRNA from 1 species